UAAUGUUGAAAAAUUAGCGGAUGACCUGUGGCUGGGGGUGAAAGGCCAAUCAAACCGGGAGAUAGCUGGUUCUCCCCGAAAGCUAUUUAGGUAGCGCCUCGUGAAUUCAUCUCCGGGGGUAGAGCACUGUUUCGGCUAGGGGGCCAUCCCGGCUUACCAACCCGAUGCAAACUGCGAAUACCGGAGAAUGUUAUCACGGGAGACACACGGCGGGUGCUAACGUCCGUCGUGAAGAGGGAAACAACCCAGACCGCCAGCUAAGGUCCCAAAGUCAUGGUUAAGUGGGAAACGAUGUGGGAAGGCCCAGACAGCCAGGAUGUUGGCUUAGAAGCAGCCAUCAUUUAAAGAAAGCGUAAUAGCUCACUGGUCGAGUCGGCCUGCGCGGAAGAUGUAACGGGGCUAAACCAUGCACCGAAGCUGCGGCAGCGACACUGUGUGUUGUUGGGUAGGGGAGCGUUCUGUAAGCCUGUGAAGGUGUGUCGUGAGGCAUGCUGGAGGUAUCAGAAGUGCGAAUGCUGACAUAAGUAACGAUAAAGCGGGUGAAAAGCCCGCUCGCCGGAAGACCAAGGGUUCCUGUCCAACGUUAAUCGGGGCAGGGUGAGUCGACCCCUAAGGCGAGGCCGAAAGGCGUAGUCGAUGGGAAACGGGUUAAUAUUCCCGUACUUGGUGUUACUGCGAAGGGGGGACGGAGAAGGCUAUGUUGGCCGGGCGACGGUUGUCCCGGUUUAAGCGUGUAGGUGUGUGUUCCAGGUAAAUCCGGUUCACUUUAACACUGAGGCGUGACGACGAGGCACUACGGUGCUGAAGCAACAAAUGCCCUGCUUCCAGGAAAAGCCUCUAAGCAUCAGGUAACAUCAAAUCGUACCCCAAACCGACACAGGUGGUCAGGUAGAGAAUACCAAGGCGCUUGAGAGAACUCGGGUGAAGGAACUAGGCAAAAUGGUGCCGUAACUUCGGGAGAAGGCACGCUGACACGUAGGUGAAGUGAUUUACUCAUGGAGCUGAAGUCAGUCGAAGAUACCAGCUGGCUGCAACUGUUUAUUAAAAACACAGCACUGUGCAAACACGAAAGUGGACGUAUACGGUGUGACGCCUGCCCGGUGCCGGAAGGUUAAUUGAUGGGGUCAGCGCAAGCGAAGCUCCUGAUCGAAGCCCCGGUAAACGGCGGCCGUAACUAUAACGGUCCUAAGGUAGCGAAAUUCCUUGUCGGGUAAGUUCCGACCUGCACGAAUGGCGUAAUGAUGGCCAGGCUGUCUCCACCCGAGACUCAGUGAAAUUGAACUCGCUGUGAAGAUGCAGUGUACCCGCGGCAAGACGGAAAGACCCCGUGAACCUUUACUAUAGCUUGACACUGAACAUUGAGCCUUGAUGUGUAGGAUAGGUGGGAGGCUUUGAAGUGUGGACGCCAGUCUGCAUGGAGCCGACCUUGAAAUACCACCCUUUAAUGUUUGAUGUUCUAACGUGGACCCGUUACCCGGGUUGCGGACAGUGUCUGGUGGGUAGUUUGACUGGGGCGGUCUCCUCCUAAAGAGUAACGGAGGAGCACGA
rnacentral:rRNA from 1 species